AUACGGAGGGUGCAAGCGUUAUUCGGAAUCACUGGGUGUAAAGGACGCGUAGGCGGGUUGGCAAGUCAGAUGUGAAAUCCUACAGCUUAACUGUAGAACUGCAUUUGAAACUGCUAACCUAGAGUAUGGGAGGGGGAGAUGGAAUUAGUGGUGUAGGGGUAAAAUCCGUAGAUAUCACUAGGAAUACCGAAAGCGAAGGCGAUCUCCUGGAACAUAACUGACGCUAAGGCGUGAAAGCGUGGGGAGCAAACAGGAUUAGAAACCCUAGUAGUCC
rnacentral:rRNA from 1 species